rnacentral:lncRNA from 1 species
GUGCGGUUACGAUCAGACUGCAAAGAUCACACAGGAGAACGGUAUUCACGAAAUGGUGCUGAUCGAGCCAUGUAGUGUUACCGAAAGGUGGAAGACCAGCGUUUUCUUUACUUGAACUUAUGUUGUCAUUUGAUGGUAGCUGUUUUGUUGCUUUGACUUGAAUUGUUUUCUAUGCCUUACGUGCAUAUUCUGUUGAUUGUUGUUUUGU